rnacentral:rRNA from 1 species
CCUACGGGAGGCUGCAGUGGGGAAUAUUGGACAAUGGGGGCAACCCUGAUCCAGCCAUGCCGCGUGUGUGAAGAAGGCCCUCGGGUUGUAAAGCACUUUCAGUGAGGAAGAACGCCUGGUGGUUAAUACCCAUCAGGAAAGACAUCACUCACAGAAGAAGCACCGGCUAACUCCGUGCCAGCAGCCGCGGUAAUACGGAGGGUGCGAGCGUUAAUCGGAAUUACUGGGCGUAAAGCGCGCGUAGGUGGCUUGAUAAGCCGGUUGUGAAAGCCCCGGGCUCAACCUGGGAACGGCAUCCGGAACUGUCAAGCUAGAGUGCAGGAGAGGAAGGUAGAAUUCCCGGUGUAGCGGUGAAAUGCGUAGAGAUCGGGAGGAAUACCAGUGGCGAAGGCGGCCUUCUGGACUGACACUGACACUGUGGUGCGAAAGCGUGGGUAGCAAACAGGAUUAGAUACCCUUGUAGUC